UACGUAGGGCGCAAGCGUUGUCCGGAAUUAUUGGGCGUAAAGAGCUCGUAGGCGGUGUGUCGCGUCGGUCGUGAAAACUUGGGGCUUAACUCUGAGCUUGCGGUCGAUACUGGCAUCACUGGAGUUCGGCAGGGGAGACUGGAAUUCCUGGUGUAGCGGUGAAAUGCGCAGAUAUCAGGAGGAACACCGGUGGCGAAGGCGGGUCUCUGGGCCGAUACUGACGCUGAGGAGCGAAAGCGUGGGGAGCGAACAGG
rnacentral:rRNA from 1 species